GACGAACGCUGGCGGCGUGCUUAACACAUGCAAGUCGAGCGGUAAGGCCCUUUCGGGGGUACACGAGCGGCGAACGGGUGAGUAACACGUGGGUGACCUGCCCUUAGCUCUGGGAUAAGCCUGGGAAACUGGGUCUAAUACCGGAUAUGACUCCAUGACGCAUGUUGUGGGGUGGAAAGCCUUGUGCGGCUAGGGAUGGGCCUGCGGCCUAUCAGCUUGUUGGUGGGGUGAUGGCCUACCAAGGCGACGACGGGUAGCCGGCCUGAGAGGGCGACCGGCCACACUGGGACUGAGACACGGCCCAGACUCCUACGGGAGGCAGCAGUGGGGAAUCUUGCGCAAUGGGCGAAAGCCUGACGCAGCGACGCCGCGUGGAGGAUGACGGCCU
rnacentral:rRNA from 1 species